rnacentral:sRNA from 1 species
CGCAGCCGAGCGCAGCCGGGCGCGCGCCACCGCCCACUCGCCCUGUGCCCGCCGCAGCCCGAAACUGGCCACGGCCGGGAGCGGAGGGGACAGCGGGGAUCGUGAGCUCCGGCCCGAGCGAGCGGGUGCGUCUGCCGCGGAGUCGGCACCUGAAGGACAUGGAGAGGCCAUCUGCAACCCUUGAAGGCCAGAGUUGUAUGGCCCUGGAUUCUGCUCCAUGGACAGUAGGAAACUCUGAGAGGUGUUGAGGCAGCUGGCAGCAGUGAUGUAGCCGGGAUGAUACAGCAAAAAUGCCACUUCAUGGAGUGAGCAAGGGAACCAGGAAAGGAUGCUGAGGCUUUGAGAUGCUUAAAUGAUGUGCCCAGGGUCUAGAAGGACCUGUGUCAUUGGAUCAGGACCUACGUUGAUAAUCCAGGAUGAUCUCUUCAUCUCAAAAUUGACAGGGUCUUGCUCUGUUGCCCAGGCUGGAGUGCAGUGGCACAAUCAUGGCUCACUGCAGCCUCAACCCUCCAGGGCUUAAGUGAUCCUCUCACCUCAUCCUCCUGAGUAGCUGGGACUAUAGGCGUGCACCACCACGCCCAGAGACGCACCAAGACGCUACCAAAUGCAAAUUAAUAAGACCAAUCCUGGCCGGGUGCAAUGGCUCACUCCUGUAAUCUCAGCACUUUGGGAGGCCGAGGCAGGUGGAUCACAGAAGGUCGGGAGUUUGAGACCACCCUGACCAACAUGAAGAAACCCCGUCUCUACUAAAAAUACAAAAUUAGCCGGGCGUGGUGGUGCAUGCCUGUAAUCCCAGAUACUCAGGAGGCUGAGGCAGGAGAAUCGCUUGAACCUGGGAGGCGAAGUUUGCAGUGAGCCGAGAUCGCGCCAUUGCACUCCAGCCUGGUCAACAAGAGUGAAACUCUGUCUCAAAAAAAUAAGAAUAAGACACCA